GACGAACGCUGGCGGCGUGCUUAACACGUGCAAGUCGAACGGUAAGGCCCUUCGGGGUACACGAGUGGCGAACGGGUGAGUAACACGUGGGUGGUCUGCCCUGCACUUCGGGAUAAGCCUGGGAAACUGGGUCUAAUACCGGAUAGGACCACUGCCUGCAUGGGUGGUGGUGGAAAGCUUUUGCGGUGUGGGAUGGGCCCGCGGCCUAUCAGCUUGUUGGUGGGGUGAUGGCCUACCAAGGCGACGACGGGUAGCCGGCCUGAGAGGGUGACCGGCCACACUGGGACUGAGAUACGGCCCAGACUCCUACGGGAGGCAGCAGUGGGGAAUAUUGCACAAUGGGCGCAAGCCUGAUGCAGCGACGCCGCGUGAGGGAUGACGGCCUUCGGGUUGUAAACCUCUUUCAGCACCGACGAAGCGCAAGUGACGGUAGGUGCAGAAGAAGGACCGGCCAACUACGUGCCAGCAGCCGCGGUAA
rnacentral:rRNA from 1 species